CACAAGGUCAGGAGAUAGAGACCAUUCUGGCUAACACGGUGAAACCCCAUCUCUACUAAAAAUACAAAAAAUUACCUGGGCGUGGUGGCGGGCGCCUGUAGUCCCAGCUGCUCCGGAGGCUGAGGCGGGAGAAUGACGUGAACCCGGGGGGCGGAGCUUGCAGUGAGCCGAGAUCGCGCCUCAGCACUCCAGCCUGGGCGACAGAGGGAGACUCCGUCUCAAAAAUAAAACUAAAAUAUAUUUAAAAAAAACAUUUUCAUGGGUGAAAAAAAUUUGGCCUGUUAUGCCUUCUGUACUCUCAUGUUAAAGCACUGAUGAAAACAAACUGCCAGAAACAAAAGAUUCUAAGGAACUGCUCUUUGGCUGAAAUCCAUCACUGUAUGCAGUGCUACAUUUGAC